ensembl:lncRNA
UAAUUUAAAAAUCCAUUUAUUAUUUCAGAUUUUUUCCGCCUUUGUUAUACAAAGAUGUUAAAUAACUUAAAUACAUUCUUACCAGUCAUUUGUGAUCUGUUUAAACCUACAAGCUAUACACAUGAGGUAGAGGAAAAUAAUUUAGAGUUCCCAUAAGACAUGAAUAAGUGAACAUGGACAAAGCUUUGUUGGUGUAAUAUUAUCACAAAGGACAAUACAUAGCUGGUGUAUUUUAUCUUUGUUUUACAAGCACAGCACAAAUCCUAACAAAAAGUACAUGUACAUGUAAAGUGACCCUAAGGUGAACAAGUCCAUACUGAUCAUCAGUCCUUUCACAAAACCGCUGAUUAUACAAGAUUAAGUUCUAUAAAAUAUUCUUGAUAACUGUGAUUUUCUUUGCAUGCUUUCAGAAACUGCAUUACCGCGAGUGAAUUAAACCAACUAAAAGUGAGCUGAUUUGAAUUUUGUUAGGAUUUGUUAGUGCUUAGAUAACAAUCUUGAGAUAUAAAAUGAAAUAUGUUGAUAGUAUACACUGCUUCUCGAAGCCUCCACCCCAAAAGGAACAAACACCCAAAAAGAAAACAGAGUAAAAAAUACAGGAUAUAAAAUCAAUUUAGACUUUGAAGUUAUUUACACUAAACACAUGCUCAUAAUAUAUUUAAAAAAUAAUUUAUCUUUCUUUUCUCUACAACAUAGAAUUUUGUACAUGAUCCACUGAUGACUAAACAGUGCAGAGUUUUGGAUUUGAGAGCGUGGAUGACUGUGACAUCUAAAAACCCAGCGGACUGCUGCAUCAUGCUCCUCUUUUCUGGACUAAAUUUCUACGCCUAUGUACAAUCUAUAAACAAACAAAAAUGCAAUCUGUUUGCAUUUCCUGUCGUGUCUGUUUUGAAUCCGUUCAAUGGUAGAGAACCUCACCAUGUUUGGGCUGAGGCGGAGUGUGUGGCGCAAACACACACCAGAAGCUGUGGCAAGCAGGCAUUUGUGCUUUGCGUCUCUGCAUAGCUAUUAUGGUUUCCAUGUAGCGUGCAAAGUUCUAUGUAUAUGUUUUGACCAGUCUUUAUUUGGCAUGCCAUCUCAUAUCAAAAUGCUUGGAAUUCAUCUCCUUUAGACAAAUAAGCCAUGCACGGUUCUCUUCUUAUCAGAGGGAGCUUUGAUUUAAAUCACUGUGAAACUCCUUUUUAAAAAUGCACUGUGCAGCAUUGAUGAUUGAAAUCCGUAAUCAUCUCGUUUCAGCAGCUGUAUGCCGUUUCAGCAAAUGCUUCACUCAUUUAUUUAAUUUCAAUUUGUGUUUCAGAUGCUUGUGAGAGUUGAACAUGUGCCUCACUUUUGUCUCUAUACCACAGGAGAAGAAACCUUUGCUAUUUACAUUUUUUAAUAAAAAACAAGAAGAAAAAAAGAUUCUGCACUGCACUGUAUCCAUAAAUACAGAUCUUUAAAUACUUUAAAGGGCUUUUGGGCUUCAGUGCGUGAAUGGUGCUAUAAUACAAAGCUGGGUCCCUCACUCAGUAGUUAAUUCACACCAAUCUAAAAUAUGGCCUAUAAGGUCCUGUAUUUGAUAAAAUAUAAUGUUUCUAAGCACUAAGUGCUGAGAAUAUGACAAAAUUUUGUCUGCAUUGUUUGUGUGCACAGAGGCAUUUCUCAUAAAACUGUAAUGGAAACAAUUUGCAUGUUCUUCUUAUCAGUCAGCUAGUUAGCUUUGCAUAAACGCCGCAAACUUGGACACAGCGAGACUGAAAUGUGCCCUAAGGUAUCAAAAGCCACCUUUCAGUACCUUUAAGGUUCACUGAUUAACAAGUUACAUCCUGUCUGUUUAAUAUGUACAAAAAAGCGUAACAAAGACGAGGCGUGGUUUAACUUCCUGGAUUAAACAAACAAGAUAUAGGAGGCCAAACAGUGAGUUUAGAGGUGCUGAUGGGCAAAUUUUGUUAAAAGUAGCAGUUUCCUCUGUUUCUUUAUGAUAGGCUAAGGAAAAACCAGACUGAAGUUUAUUAUUUCAUACCACGCAGUACUUCCUGCAGUGUCAAACCGUCA